CCCGGGAUCAGAGUCCAGCCGCCGCCGAGACUCGGCCUGAGCAACAGGAGAGCCGAGGCCGCCGCUCCGCCAGCCCAGCGACCGGCAGAUGCUCCCGCUCCCCCGCCCCCAACCCCACACGCCCGCCCGCGCUUCUUUCUUAGCCCCUUGCUGGCUCCCGGCACUGCGAAGCCAGUAACGGGGCUGGGAGCAGACAGCGAGAGAGCCUGGACCUGAAAGAGGGCGAAGUUAGAGGCCGCCCGCAUGUCUGCUCCCUCAGCUCCUGGAGUCUCUCAGCUUGAGAUCCCGUGAGAUGACCGACCCAGGGCCCGUGGACCAAAUUCAGGCAGAGCACUGGACAGGGAGCAAGACUCAGAUUGGCUUUUGGAUAGACCAACCCCUGCUGCAGCAGACCUCAUGGUCCAGCCGUCCUCGUGCCUGUGGGAGAGAAGGUCCUGUAAUCGCAUCCCUCGGGAUUCGUGUUUGCUCCGCAGUUCGCAAAUGAGAGGCUCGCUGCUGCUCCAAACAUGCCAGUGAGGCUGCGUGAGAACAGCUACUUGCACCAGCCGUCUGUGUUUGGGCUCCCAGUGAUGAAGAUGAAGCCACGGCCUUUGUGCAAGGCGGGUGGUGCCGUGGGGAGUGGGAGCCGGGGAAGAUGGCCAGGCUUGAAUGGAGACAUGUGACCUCUCGGGAAACUGGCUUGCCUCCCCCGGGGUUUUCCUGUUUAGUUCUGCAGAAGGCAAAGGAAACCCAUGGUUUGGGAAAAGUCCUGUUGAUAUAAAACCAACCAGUUUAUUUUUAUUUAUUUUUUAAGAGAUCUUAUUUAGGGGCACCUGGGUGGCUCAGUGGUUUAAGGCUGCUGCCUUCAGCUCAGGUCAUGAUCUCAGGGUCCUGGGAUCGAGCCCCGCAUCAGGCUCUCUGCUCAGCAGGGAGUCUGCUUCCCUUCUCUCUCUGCCUGCCUCUCUGCCUACUUGUGAUCUCUGUCUGUCAAAUAAAUAAAUACAAAUAUUUAAAAAAAGAAAAAGGAUAUGUCCAUUAAAAAAAAAAAAGAUCUUAUUUAUUUAUUUGACACAGAGAGACUGAGCAAGCACAGGCAGGGGGAGCCAGAAAGAGAGAGGGAGACACAGAAGCCCCGCUGAGCAGGGAGCCCAUCCUCAGGGGUUGUUGUCUGGGCUCGACCCUGGGAUCAUGACCUGAGCCAAAGGCAGAUGCUUAACAGACAGAGCCACCCAGACAUCCCAAAACCAAGCAGUUUAAAAUUUAGUUGAGAUUCAGACUAGCUGGGAAGCACCAUUAAUCGUGUUCAACCUGCUUCCACCUAAUGUGUGCAUAACCUGUUCUUACUUAACAGCACCAUUCAACAUUUAUAUCUGGUUUUAUAGGUGCCAAGAGCCCUUUACCAUUAAUUAUGCCACAUAGUAAUUCUGCUGUCUAGAUAGUGAUGCCCGAUUUAUGCUCGAGGAGGGUGAGGUUCGAAGAUGCAAAGGACCUUGCCUGGGGCCAGAGUCUUUUUUUUUUUUUUUUUUUUUAAGAUUUUAUUUAUUUAUUUGACAGAGAGAGAUCAGAAGUAGGCAGAGAGGCAGAGAGAGAGAGAGAGAGAGAGAGGAGGAAGCAGGCUCCCUGCUGAGCAGAGAGCCCGAUACGGGGCUCGAUCUCAGGACCCUGAGAUCAUGACCUGAGCUGAAGGCAGCGGCUUAACCCACUGAGCCACCCAGGUGCCCCGGGGCCAGAGUCUUUUAGCAGAGCUGGGGACAUACGUUAGAAUUUUAGUUUUUAACUAUGUAUUUGAUUUUUCUGGAGAUUUUAUUUAUUUAUUUGACACAGAGAGAGAGAUCACAAGUAGGUAGAGAGGCAGGCAGAGAGAGAGAAGGGGAAGCAAUCUCCCUGCUGAGCAGAGAGCCCGACGCGGGGCUUGAUCCCAGGACCCUGGGAUCAUGACCUGAGCUAAAGGCAGAGGCUUUAACCCACUGAGCCACCCAGGUGCCCCUGUAUUUGAUUUUCUGUAAGCCAUGCAGACUUCUAGGUCCAUUCUAAGGUUCAUGAACAUAUUGGUGGAUACCAACUCAUACAUAAGAGAGACCGUAGGGGUUCUGCCCCGAAAGAAACCUAUUCCUUGCUAGGUCCACAGGUCUGUGCAGGGAUGCACCUGUUGAUGUCUUCUGCACCUUUUUUUUUUUUUUUUUAAGUAAGCUCUAUGCCCAGUGUGGAGCCCAAUGCAGCGCUUGAACUCACGACCCCGAGAUCAAGACCAGGGCUGAGAUCAAGAGUCAGACACAACCAACUGAGCCACCCAGGUGCCCCGAUGUCCUCUGCUCUCUUACCCAUUUUAGUUGUCUUGGGGUUUCUCUGUCACUGGCGAACAGAUCUUCCUUAUCAUAGCUUUUGCUAGGUCAGUACUUAUCGCUCCAAAGUUUCCAGGGUAAGUGAUGUGAAGAAGGGAAUUUGGAUAUGUAAAUUGGGGGCCAGUGAAUUUGAUCAUUUCAGAAAACAAUUUGGUAGGUCCUCGAAAAGCUGGAGGUAUACUGCCAUCUACUAUCUCUUGCAUGGGUGUGACAGGUGACAUGCCCUUGGCAGCAUUUUUGUUAGAGCUGGGAAAAAAAAAAAAAAAAUAAGGAAUCACUCUAAAUGUUCACUAACCAGAGAAUGGAUAGAAAAGUAUGGAAAGUGGUCAGGGAAUAUGGCGCUAAAGAUCCGUGAAAAUGAAUGAACUAGAGCCAAGGCCUCACCAUGAGUGAAUCUCUGGAACAUAAAGUCGAAUAAGAAACGUUAGACGCAGAAAAAGCAGCACAGUCUGAUUGCAUCUAGAUAAUGUUCAGAAAGCAGCAGACCACCUGGCGUAUGUAGAGGAACACACAAAUGUGAGCCCACUAGGAAGUAAAUCCUAGAAACACAAGUGCCCGAAUCAGCCUGGUGCUUCCCUCUGGGGAGAUGGGAAGGAGACCGGUGGGGGAGGGGACUACGAGGGUUUGUAGUGCAUUGGUGAUGGUCAGUUCCUUUAGCUGGGUCAUUGGUCCUUAAGGGGCAUCGACUACAUACAUACACAUGCCUACAUAUAUCCUUUGUUUUGAAUGAAAUAUUUUGUCAUAGAAAAAUAUAGAAUCUACCUCUUUUUUUUUUUUUUAAGAUUUUAUUUAUUUAUUUGACAGAGAGAAAUCCCAAGUAGAUGGAGAGACAGGCAGAGAGAGAGAGAGGGAAGCAGGCUCCCUGCUGAGCAGAGAGCCCGAUGCAGGACUUGAUCCCAAGACCCUGAGAUCACGACCCGAGCCAAAGGCAGCGUCUUAACCCACUGAGCCACCCAGGGGCCCCUAGAAUCUACCUCUUUAAAAAAAGAUUUAUUUAUUUAAUUGAGAGAGAGAAAGAGAGUGAGCAUGAGCAGGAGGGACAGAAGGUGAUGGAGAGAAGUAGAUUCUGCUAAGUGCAGGAGCCUGAUGUGGGGGCUCGAUCCCAUGACUCUGAGAUCAGGGCCUGAGCUGAAAUCAAGAGUCAGAUGCUUAACCAACUGAGCCACCCAGGCACCCCUAUGACCAAUGCAGGGUUAGGGGUACCGGUCCCCUGCACAGUUGAAAAUCCAGUAUAAGGUUUUUUUUGGGGGGAGGGGUAAACAUUUAUGUGAGAGAAAUUUCAUGAGUGUGGAGGGGGGCAGGCAGAGGGAGAGACUCUCGGGCAGACUUCUUGUAUAGUGUGGAGCCCAGAGUGGGGUUUGGCUCUCGGUUGGAUCUUACAACCCUGAGAUCAUGCAUGACCUGAGCAGAAACUAAGAGUCAGACGUCCAACUAUGAGGCCACCCAGGUACUCCCAUCCAGUAUAACUUUUGACUCCCCUAAGGUGUAACAACUAAUAGCCUAAUGUUGACCAAAAGAUCCAUGGAUAGCAAAAACAGUUGACUAACACAUAUUUUGUGCAGUCUCUGGUUAUAUACUGUUUUCCUCCAAUAAAGUAAGCCAGAGGGAAGAGAUGGUCAUUCAGAAAAUCCUAAGGAAGAGAACACUUUCAUAGUACUAUUUUGUUAUUUAUCGAAAAAAAAUCUGUGUAUAAGUGGACCUGUGCAGUUCAUACCUGUGUUGUUCGAAGGUCAGCUGUACAAAAAAAUAAACUUUUAUGGGACUUCA